rnacentral:rRNA from 1 species
GAUGAACGCUAGCGGCAGGCUUAACACAUGCAAGUCGAGGGGUAUAGUAGCAAUACUAGAGACCGGCGCACGGGUGCGUAACGCGUAUGCAAUCUACCUUUUACAGAGGGAUAGCCCAGAGAAAUUUGGAUUAAUACCUCAUAGCAUUGCGAAAUGGCAUCAUUUUGCAAUUAAAGUCACAACGGUAAAAGAUGAGCAUGCGUCCCAUUAGCUAGUUGGUAAGGUAACGCUUACCAAGGCAACGAUGGGUAGGGGUCCUGAGAGGGAGAUCCCCCACACUGGUACUGAGACACGGACCAGACUCCUACGGGAGGCAGCAGUGAGGAAUAUUGGACAAUGGGCGCAAGCCUGAUCCAGCCAUGCCGCGUGCAGGAUGACGGUCCUAUGGAUUGUAAACUGCUUUUGUACGAGAAGAAACACUCCGACAUGUCGGAGCUUGACGGUAUCGUAAGAAUAAGGAUCGGCUAACUCCGUGCCAGCAG